UACGUAGGGUGCGAGCGUUGUCCGGAAUUACUGGGCGUAAAGAGCUUGUAGGUGGUUUGUCGCGUUGUUCGUGAAAUCUCACGGCUCAACUGUGAGCGUGCGGGCGAUACGGGCAGACUAGAGUACUGCAGGGGAGACUGGAAUUCCUGGUGUAGCGGUGGAAUGCGCAGAUAUCAGGAGGAACACCGGUGGCGAAGGCGGGUCUCUGGGCAGUAACUGACGCUGAGGCACGAAGGUCAGGGGAGCAAACGGG
rnacentral:rRNA from 1 species